rnacentral:rRNA from 1 species
AUACGGAGGGGGCUAGCGUUGUUCGGAAUUACUGGGCGUAAAGCGCGCGUAGGCGGAUUGAUCAGUCAGGGGAGAAAUCCCGAGGCUUAACCUCGGAACUGCCUUUGAUACUGUCAAUCUUGAGUUCGAGAGAGGUGAGUGGAAUUCCUAGUGUAGAGGUGAAAUUCGUAGAUAUUGGGAAGAACACCAGUGGCGAAGGCGGCUCACUGGCUCGAUACUGACGCUGAGGUGCGAAAGCGUGGGGAGCAAACAGGAUUAGAAACCCUAGUAGUCC